GACGAACGCUGGCGGCGUGCUUAACACAUGCAAGUCGAACGGUAAGGCCCUUCGGGGUACACGAGUGGCGAACGGGUGAGUAACACGUGGGUGAUCUGCCCUGCACUUCGGGAUAAGCCUGGGAAACUGGGUCUAAUACCGGAUAGGAUUCCUGGCUUCAUGGUUGGGGGUGGAAAGCUUUUGCGGUGUGGGAUGGGCCCGCGGCCUAUCAGCUUGUUGGUGGGGUAAUGGCCUACCAAGGCGACGACGGGUAGCCGGCCUGAGAGGGUGACCGGUCACACUGGGACUGAGAUACGGCCCAGACUCCUACGGGAGGCAGCAGUGGGGAAUAUUGCACAAUGGGCGCAAGCCUGAUGCAGCGACGCCGCGUGAGGGAUGACGGCCUUCGGGUUGUAAACCUCUUUCAGCUAUGACGAAGCGCAAGUGACGGUAGUAGCAGAAGAAGGACCGGCCAACUACGUGCCAGAAGCCGCCGUAA
rnacentral:rRNA from 1 species